AUNAUCGGGAUUUUUCGAGGAAGCAUCCAUCAAUAGACCCAAGUACGGACUUUCGUAUCCCGCAUUUUCUACGGGAAAUGGAUUUCGACCGAGAGAUUAUCAGAGGAUCCGUGCACGGUCAAAGGCGUAAAAUAGCCAUUUUGAAACUCUUUCAAGCAAAUGUCCAUUCCCCAAUUUUUGUCGACAACUACCCGUUUGGUGGUCUUUUCGAUGAUAUCGUCCAAUAUGUGAAAGAAUAUUUCAGGAAACCAGGUACUGAUAAUUCGGAAUUUUUGCAGUUUCAGAAAGUGCAAGAAGAGAGACGGAAAGAGGACCAGAAAGACGAGAUUGAAAACAGACUUGAAAAAAUCGAAGAGGCCUGGGAGAGCAUUCUAUAUGGUCUAGUAAUCAGAAAUUUUGUAAUAUUAUUCCAAUCAAUAUUUAGAAAAUAUAUUCUAUUACCUUCAUUGAUAAUCACUAAAAAUAUAAUUCGUAUCUUAUUAUUUCAAAAUCCGGAAUGGUCAGAAGAUUUUAGGGAUUGGAGAAAAGAAAUCCAUGUUAAAUGCACCUAUCAAGGCGUUCCAACAGGUAGCAACGCAUUGCCAAUCGACUGGUUCUGGGGCGGUCUUCAGAUAAGGGUCUUACACCCUUUUGUUCUGAAACCUUGGCACAAUAAACCUAAGGUACGAUCUACUGAAAAAAAAAAAAGAUACACUCCAAAAAGCGUACUUGAAACAACCGCCUUUGAAAAAAACUUCUUGUUUUUAACAGGUUAUGGAACACUAGUCGAAGCGUACACUGAUGAGCAUGUCCCAAACCCAUUUGCAUUUUUGGGUCCUAUUUUCAAUCAAAUAACAAAACAAUUGAAAAAAGAUUUGAAAAAGUCUUUUCGAAAAUUGGAUAAUCAAAAAGAAAGAAAAAACAGGUCUCCAAUCCUGGGAGAAGAAUUAAAACAAAUAGAAAACGAAUUGAGUGAAAUCCAAAAAAAUUCACCAAUUAAUCCAAUGAUUGAGGAAUCGCCCGAUAUAAUUCAAUCUAUUAAUCCAAUGAUUGAGGAAUCGCCCGAUAUAAUUCAAUCUAUUAAUUGGACAAAUUCAGAAAAAAGGAUAAAAGAUCUUAAUGUUAAAACAAAGACGAUCUUAAAACAAAUAGAAAAAAUGACAGAAGAAAAAAACGAGGGGGUUAUAACUGAUGCUAAAAGAUUAGAAUUAAAAAAAAAUCGUUUCCAAAUUCUACAAAGAAGAAACGUUCGAUUAAUCCGUAAAUCCUAUUGUUUUUUUCAAAUUUUCAUGGAAAGGCUAUACAUACAUAUCCUUACUACUAACUAUGUAGAAGGUUUCCUUACUUCGAGCAUUGUACAACGUUAUCUUAAUUAUAUUAAAUUUAUUCGUUAUUUAUUUGAAUUAACAAAUAAAAUUGUAAAGAAAUCCAUUUACAAUUACAAUAAAAAAAAUGAACAAAAAGUUUAUAAAAUAAAUCAAAGUAUAAUUCCCUUUAUGUCGACUAUAGAGAAACCUUGGAAUAUGAAUUCAUAGAAUUCUUGUGAUGUAUCUUCUUUGUCACAAGCCUAUGUAUUGUUUAAAUUAUCUCAAAGCCAAGUUAGUAAUGGAUAUAAGUUAAGAUCCAUUUUUGAAUCUCAUGGAAGAUCUUUUUUUAUGAACAAUGAAAUAAAGGAGUAUUUAUUGAGAAUACAAGAAGGAAGAUUAAAUUCAAAAUUAAGAGAUAAGAACCGUCCCGAUUCUAUAAUGAAUCAAUGGACAAAUUGGUUAAAGGUUCAUUAUCAAUAUGCUUUACCUCAGAGGGCAUGGUCGAGAUUAGUACCACAAAAGUGGAGGAAUAGAAUCCAUGAACAGCGGGUGGCUCAAAAUAAGGAUUUAGAUGAAUAUGGUUCAUCUCAAAAAACCCUAUUAAUUUUUUCCAAAAAAGAACAAGUGGACUUCGUAGAAUUAGAAAACGGAGCAGAAGUGGACUUAGUAAAAAUGAAAAAAAAAAUAAAAAAACAAUAUGGAUAUGAUCUUUUCUCCUAUCAAUAUAUAAAUUAUGUGGAUAAGAAAAAAUCCUAUAUUUAUGGAUAUAAAUCACAGUCUUAUAACACGCCUAAAAAUAUCAAAGAAUUAUUUGAUAUAAUGGGUGAUAGCUUUAUCCAAAAUUAUAUAGGAAAAGAUGGUAUAGAUAUGGAAAAAAAUAUGGAUAGAAAGUAUUUUCAUUGGAUGGGAAAAAGAAAAAGGAAUUCCAUAACGAAUCAGAAAGUAUUGACCCCAAGAUUUGGUUUUUUUUCAAAAGUAAGUGCAUAUAAGAAGAAUCCUUGGAUCUUACCACUAGAUUUCUUUUUUAUGCCGUUUUAUACAAACAGUAAAGAAAAAAUCCUAUAUUUAUGGAUAUAAAUCACAGUCUUAUAACACACCUAAAAAUAUCAAAGAAUUAUUUGAUAUAAUGGGUGAUAGCUUUAUCCAAAAUUAUAUAGGAAAAGAUGGUAUAGAUAUUAUUUCAUUACAUCCAUAUCUGCUUCAAGUUCAUCAGAUAGUUGGAUCUGUCCAAGUGCCUCUGAUUAGACCUCAGAU
rnacentral:lncRNA from 1 species